rnacentral:tRNA from 1 species
GAGAGUAUAGCUGAGUGGUAGAGCACAUGCUUAGCAUGCAUGAGGUCCUAGGUUCGAUCCCCAGCACUCCCA